rnacentral:misc_RNA from 1 species
CAUAAACACCUCCUAAAUGCAAAGUAAAAACAUAUUAAAAUUUUCACUAUUAAAUUUAUUAAAAUUCAAAUCAAACCAAAUUCGAAUCAGACCUAAAAUUAGUCUAACCUUAAACCAAAACCAUAAGUUUCAGCUUUUCAGAUUCCUACCGCAAGUUGCCACGGGUCCCACGUAAAGUGAUCGAGAACACUGCCAAUAAGCUUCUAAAUUCAACUUGCAAGUUGCGACGCUGCAUCAAUAAUUAGACCCAUGAAGUUUUCUUCUGAGCUGCAGUGGUCCUAUUGACAAAAAUUUUAACUUACUCGCAACAUCUAACAGUUAACAAAUUUUAGCCUAAUUGCAAUAUCCAUCUAACACUGGACUGCAAUUUUAGAUUACAAUGCACCUAAAAUAAAGACUACUUCCCAUUCUAAAUACACAUAUGAAUAUUUAGCAAACAAUCUCUAAUGACCAAGAGUCAAAACUUAACCUAAAACAGACUCUUACACAACUUCAAGGGAAAAGCGAGGAAAAGGUAGAGGAAGAGCAUACACCAACGCUAUACAAAACAGACUUGAGGUAGAUUACAAUCCAAAAGGCUGCUAGUGCUGGACAAGCAAACAAUUAAGUUAUGCUUGAGAUUGAGGUUCGCUGCCUCCUCCAUUAUUCCAAUUGUGUCUUUGAUAUAAAUAAUUUGCCAGAAUCAGAGGCAACCUUGGACUUGCGUGUGCACAAAUGAUUCAACCACCCGUCUAUCAAAUGCCCUUUGACUUACAUCAGCGGAGAGCACUGACAAAAGUCAUCAAGGAAUCUACAUCCCUCUUCUCUGAGGGAUACUUAAUCGGCCUAGAGGAGUGUUUGGGAAAGAGAAGUAUUGUAGGAAAGCUUCCCAGCUGUAAUUCUUGCUUGGCAAAUUCUUUCUGAUCACCAUCUGCCCUGAACUUCCCCACCUUCACUCCACUCCCGGCCAACUUAUCAGCCAAUUCAAGAUACGAUUGUUCCAUGCCCUGGCAAAAUUGGCACCAUGGAGCAUAAAUAACAACAAUCCAUGGUUCCUUUCUGUUCUCCAAUCUUAAUAAAUUCUCUAUUCCAGUCCUGCUCAAAUUGACCAAAUUCUGUGAGUUGAAAAUAUCAGCAACACCAGCAGCCCCAUUUCCAUUGCCAUUAAGUAGGGCUCCAUCCUGUUUCAGAUUUCCUUUGUGAAGCCCGCAUUCCUUAGCCUUAGCAUCCUCCCACCACCAUCUCCCUUCUCUCUCGUGUUGGCCAGGAAGAACGGGUCUUGUGCAAGGCUCACAGCCAAUUGAGACGUACCCCUGUGAAUGCAAUGAGUUUACAGGCACAUUCAUUGCUCGAAGGAAGUUCCAUACAUUUACCCCGUCAACAUUUGCCAAAGGAUUCCACUUGAUCAGACUGCCAACCCCACCAUCCAUUCCCUCAAAAACUGGGUCCACCUGAACAACAGGAAUUUCAGACCUUGUGCCAGGGGACUGAUCUUUUCUUUGGCCAGUGAUCCAAGCACUUAGCCCCUUGAGAGCUCUCCUCAAGGGUCUCACCUUUCUCACACGGCAGCACUCUUGGUGCCCAUCCUCAUAGAAAGAGAACAGGCCCUUACUCCUUACCAAUGCUUGAACUUCAACAGCAUCAGGAAACAUGUAUUCAAUAUGGAUGUCAUAAUGCUUCUCAACAGCAUCAAAGAACCUAUAUGUUUCUGGGUUCAACCUCCCAGUGUCCAGACUGAACACCCUAAAGGGUCUACCGGUUAGCUUGGCGUACUCAAUUAAUGCAACAUCUUCAGCACCACUGAAUGCAAUAGCAAUAUCAUUGCCAAACUCAUCAAGCGCCUUGUCCAUAAUCUCCAAAGGAGAAGAGUUCUCAAGAUCCUUGGCCAACUGCUCAUAGUCCUCCACCUUUAUUUUCUCCGCCACCUCAGGCUCAACGAUAGUUGCCGCGAGAGGGACGAUGGAGUCAUUCCGUUUGGACUUCACCGAGAACCGCCGUUGAGAGAGGUUCACGGUCGCCGGGCGAUCCAACAAACGCAAAAAACCAAUUUGAGGAGCUUUGAGCUCAGAUGAGCGCGAAUAACGGGUAGCAGAGAUUGCAGUUGCAGAAGAAGAAGAAUAAACUACGCUGAAAGCCAUUAAAGAAUAUUGAGAAUUUGAUUUCUGUGUAUAACUAGAAAUGAAAUUUGAUUUCCCUUUCUCUCUGUCGUGUGUUGCUUUUGAAUCAUG